rnacentral:misc_RNA from 1 species
GGACCGCCCCCACCCCGCGGUUUUCCAAUGCCACUAGGGCCUUUUAUUGUAGUUGCAACCCGUUAAUCUUUUUAAGAUUAAGGGCCUAUAGCUCAGUUGGUUAGAGCACACGCCUGAUAAGCGUGAGGUCGGUGGUUCAAGUCCAUUUAGGCCCACCAUAACCACAAAUAGGCUAAAUCUUAAAAAAGCUCUUGAAAAGUAGAUAAACGAAGAUAAAAA